ACAAAAAAUAGAACUAGGUAGCUUAGAGGGAAGCCCAAGAAUCAGUUGGAAGCAAGCCAUUCACAUAGAUGGUUGAAUUGGAAGUGAAUGGAGGCAUUUCUAUACACCAGAUUAAUUUGGUGCUAUGGAGAGCACCAAAUUAUGUGUUAGAUGCACCCUACUAGGCACUAGUAUUGUCCAAAGAGCUACUAGAGAGGAAAAUUGGCCACC
rnacentral:lncRNA from 1 species